CUAGAAUAAAAUAUUAUUUAAAUAAAUAAAAUCGAUAACUCUUGCACAAAACUAACCUGCUUAGUCUAAUCUUUGAGUAGUUUACCUGUGUGGUCAACCGGAUAAAGACUGUCAUGCGAAUAUAGAGAAUCACCUUAGGGACUUGUGAUUCCCAUGCUACUCAAGGUGUUUAUUGACACGUCACACAGUCAACACAAGAUAACUACUGGUACGAGUAGCGUUAUUAACACUUAAAAUUCAAUGAAAAACAAAAAUCAAAAAUAUAGUAAUAACAACGAAAAAUGCAAAAACAAAUACAACGAUAACGAUAAAAACAAAACAAUAACAACGACAUUAUUAAAAAUAUCAGAAAAAAUAACAUCGAAAACGACAAAAACAACUUCAAAAAUAACGUAAAAACAAUAACAAAAAAUACAAAAACAAAUUGGCAACAAAUAGUAUUACUAAGAUGGCCGACCCCAAGUAAUUGAAAUAAUAGUGAGGAAAAAAAGAAGAUUUGUUUUAAUUACAGAUAGUAUCACUAGGUUAUGUUGUACUUAAUAAAUUAAUAAUGAUACUGUUUAUUAAAAUAACUGAUUAAAUAUCAAUAUAAAUUGAAAAGGUUUUAGUUGCCACUGCCAUUACUCUGUUUGCUGUUGCUUCUGUACAGAUCAUCCACACAACAUUUAGCUUGUACCUAACUACUUGGUCAUGAAUCCGUCGGUAGAUUAUAUAAUACGAUUAUAUUCGUGUUCUUUUUAUUACUGUUAAUAGACAAUGUUUUAUUAACAAAUUCUGGCCAAUUUAUAUUUUUUAUUUGGCCACAACAACAUUUUUAAAGAAUAUUUUCUAUCAUUUCAAUUAUGUCUCAUGAAAAUAUUAUAUGUACAUCUAAACUUCAUUAUUAAUACACUUUAAU